rnacentral:rRNA from 1 species
AUCUAGCAUAUCAAUAAGCUGAGGAAAAGAAACUAACAAGGAUUCCCCUAGUAACUGCGAGUGAAGCGGGAAAAGCUCAAAUUUAAAAUCUGGCGGUCUUUGGCCGUCCGAGUUGUAGUCUGGAGAAGUGCUUUCCGCGCUGGACCGUGUAUAAGUCUCUUGGAACAGAGCGUCAUAGAGGGUGAGAAUCCCGUCUUUGACACGGACUACCAGUGCUUUGUGAUGCGCUCUCAAAGAGUCGAGUUGUUUGGGAAUGCAGCUCAAAAUGGGUGGUGAAUUCCAUCUAAAGCUAAAUAUUGGCGAGAGACCGAUAGCGAACAAGUACCGUGAGGGAAAGAUGAAAAGCACUUUGGAAAGAGAGUUAAACAGUACGUGAAAUUGCUGAAAGGGAAACGCUUGAAGUCAGUCGCGUCUGCCGGAACUCAGCCUUCCUUUUGGUUGGUGCACUUUCUGGUAGACGGGCCAGCAUCGAUUUUGACCGUAGGAUAAGGGCUGGAGAAAUGUGGCACCUUCGGGUGUGUUAUAGUCUUCAGUCGCAUACUACGGUUGGGAUCGAGGACCGCAGCGCGCCGCAAGGCAGGGGUUCGCCCACUUUCGCGCUUAGGAUGCUGGCAUAAUGGCUUUAAACGACCCGUCUUGAAACACGGACCAAGGAGUCUAACAAACCUGCGAGUGUUUGGGUGGAAAACCCGAGCGCGUAAUGAAAGUGAAAGUUGAGACCUCUGUCGUGGAGGGCAUCGACGCCCGGACCUGACGUUCUCUGACGGAUCCGCGGUAGAGCAUGUUUGUUGGGACCCGAAAGAUGGUGAACUAUGCCUGAAUAGGGUGAAGCCAGAGGAAACUCUGGUGGAGGCUCGUAGCGAUUCUGACGUGCAAAUCGAUCGUCAAAUUUGGGUAUAGGGGCGAAAGACUAAUCGAACCAUCUAGUAGCUGGUUCCUGCCGAGUUUCCCCUCAGAA